rnacentral:rRNA from 1 species
AGAGUUUGAUCCUGGCUCAGAUUGAACGCUGGCGGCAUGCCUAACACAUGCAAGUCGAACGGUAACAGGUCUUCGGAUGCUGACGAGUGGCGGACGGGUGAGUAAUGCGUAGGAAUCUGUCUUUUAGUGGGGGACAACCCAGGGAAACUUGGGCUAAUACCGCAUGAGCCCUGAGGGGGAAAGCGGGGGAUCUUCGGACCUCGCGCUAAGGGAAGAGCCUACGUCUGAUUAGCUAGUUGGUAGGGUAAAGGCCUACCAAGGCGACGAUCAGUAGCUGGUCUGAGAGGACGACCAGCCACACUGGGACUGAGACACGGCCCAGACUCCUACGGGAGGCAGCAGUGGGGAAUUUUUCGCAAUGGGGGCAACCCUGAUGAAGCAAUGCCGCGUGGAUGAAGAAGGCCUUCGGGUUGUAAAGUCCUUUCGUGGGGGACGAAAAGGCGGGUCCUAAUACGAUCUGCUGUUGACGUGAACCCAAGAAGAAGCACCGGCUAACUCCGUGCCAGCAGCCGCGGUAAUACGGGGGGUGCAAGCGUUAAUCGGAAUCACUGGGCGUAAAGGGUGCGUAGGCGGUACGUUAGGUCUGUCGUGAAAUCCCCGGGCUCAACCUGGGAAUGGCGGUAGAAACCGGCGCACUAGAGUAUGGGAGAGGGUGGUGGAAUUCCAGGUGUAGCGGUGAAAUGCGUAGAGAUCUGGAGGAACAUCAGUGGCGAAGGCGGCCACCUGGCCCAAUACUGACGCUGAGGCACGAAAGCGUGGGGAGCAAACAGGAUUAGAUACCCUGGUAGUCCACGCCCUAAACGAUGGGUACUAAGUGUGGGAGGGUUAAACCUCCCGUGCCGCAGCCAACGCAGUAAGUACCCCGCCUGGGGAGUACGGCCGCAAGGUUGAAACUCAA